UAAGGAAUAUUGGUCAAUGGACGAAAGUCUGAACCAGCCAUGCCGCGUGGAGGAUGAAGGUCCUCUGGAUUGUAAACUUCUUUUAUAUGGGACGAAAAAAGGCCUUUCCAGGUCGUCUGACGGUACCAUAUGAAUAAGCACCGGCUAACUCCGUGCCAGCAGCCGCGGUAAUACGGAGGGUGCAAGCGUUAUCCGGAUUCACUGGGUUUAAAGGGUGCGUAGGUGGGUUGAUAAGUCAGUGGUGAAAUCCCCGAGCUUAACUUGGGAACUGCCAUUGAUACUAUUGAUCUUGAAUACCGUGGAGGUCAGCGGAAUAUGUCAUGUAGCGGUGAAAUGCUUAGAUAUGACAUAGAACACCAAUUGCGAAGGCAGCUGGCUACGCGAAUAUUGACACUGAUGCACGAAAGCGUGGGGAUCAAACAGGAUUAGAUACCCUGGUAGUCCACGCCCUAAACUAUGGAUACUCGACAUCAGCGAUACACUGUUGGUGUCUGAGCGAAAGCAUUAAGUAUCCCACCUGGGAAGUACGAUCGCAAGAUUGC
rnacentral:rRNA from 1 species